AUCAGCUCUGUUUUUAAAAGGUCUGUAUUUUGUUAUUGUAAUACAUUCCUAUUUCCCUCUUUUUCAAAAAUGAGAAAUACCUAGUGAAUUUUAUCAAAUGCUGUUUCAGCAUUUGCUGAAAUCAUUGUAUUUUUCAUUGUUUAAUCCAGUGAUGUAGGUGGAUUACUGUUAAUACUUGCCUCUGUGUCAAGCAUUUCUAUCGUUCUUGGGAUAAAGGCUCUUCGGUCAUGGUGUAGUGUUUCCCAUAAUAUCCUAGUGAAUACCAUUUUAUAUACACACACACACACACACACACACACAUAUUUUUAAAAUUGAAUUUAUUUAAACAAAAACAGUUUACCCCUUUUCCCUACCUUCUCUCCCUGCUUCUGGCAACCACUGAUCUCUUCUCUGUAUCUGCGAGUUUGAUUAUUGAUUGAUUCUACGUAUAAGAGAGAUCAUAUGGUAUUUGUCUUUCUCUGUCUGAUGUAUUUCACUGACCAUAAUGCCCUUGAUAAGAUGUCUUGUAUAUUUUUAUGUAAGAUUUGUGGAUGGCUUGUAUCUAUCGGGGAGUGUUUCUUAUAGCAGUGCUUCUGAAACUUUUUCUUAUUAUUUUGCACCUUAGGGAGAACUCUUAAGCAUUUUUUUUCCCUUAACUGUGCCUCCAUGUAAUUUCAAUUGCACAUAUAAGCUAUAUAUCAGUACAUAUAUAUGUUAUAUGUAUAUCUGCACUUUCUACAUUAAAGAGAGGACUUUUUUUAGCCCCCUCCAGAACCAAAUUGCUCCGUUGGAAUGCAUGGGGAUAUCACUGCCCUUAGAACACAUGGCCACUCAAGUCUAUUCUUUAUUCCUGCAUUAUGUUUAUUAGAUUUCAGGAUUAAGCCAUAUGGAGGUUUACGUCUUGGUGCGACCUAUGCAAAAGGCCAUAUUUUUCAAGGUUCAGAAAUGAGAUAUAGCAGAGACACUUUAAGGCCAAUACAUUUUAGUAAAGACCAAGUCUGUUUUUCAGCUCCUCCCUGACCAUCCUAUAAAAACAGACCAAGAAUUACAUUUGAUCUUUGUCAUCACUAACAAAAUCAGCCUCAGAGCUUUCCAAUUCCAGUUUAAUCCAUCUCUAGAGAGCUCUCACCAAGCAAGACUUCAUCAGGUGUAGCCCAUGAUCCCUUUCUUCACAGCAUCAAUCAUAGACAGGCCCUUUAGUGUAUGACUCAGAAUAUCUAUAAUGGUUUUGCAAGGGCAGGUUAUAAGACAGGAGAGGAGACCAAAGGGCAAGGGCCUACAAAGUCGCUAGAGCCCCGAAGCUGAAGGUAUUGCACAUACGGCCUUAGCGGGAGAGCAUGACAGCCAGGGACAGCAAGAUUCCAUUGAGACAGCUCCUUGUCAAACCAAGAAAGUAAAGCCAAGGAUUGGGAGCAUAGUAGCUGGGUUUAAAUUGAGGGAGAAGAAGUGGAGGGCAGAGGUUGGAGUUGCAAGCUGAGCUGUAGAUUGGUAUAUAACAAUGGAUAUUAAGGCACAUAAGGAUGAGAGUUGGAGGCUUUGUUCUUAAAGGUUUAUUUUGCCCGCCACAUGUGCCUCUUUUGGAUCUUCAGUCUUGGAGACGGAACUCCUGUUUGCCACUUUUCAAGGUAGGUAAUGAACCUUUGAAAAUUUGGGAGGGUUUAGGAUGCACCCAUAUUGUGGUGGAUGCACCUAAGGUGACUUCCAAUGAGUAAUGUUCCUGUAUAAUCAAUCCCCUCCUAUCAAAUGCCAGUGGAACCCGUGAUUCUUCUUCUAACUAACAUACCAUCGCUAAGGUGAUGAGAUGUCAGUAUUUGGUUUCAUUCAUUACGUAAGACUGUCUAAGUAGACUGGAAAGAUUCUGUUGUUGGCCUUGAAGAAGCAAAUUGCCAUGCUGUGAGCUACCUAUGGGAGAGCCACAUGGGAAGGAACUGCAGGUGGCCUUAGGACCUGAGGAUAGCCCACAGUCCGUAAGAAGCAGGGCCCUCAGUCAUACAGCUACUGGGAAAUGAAUUCUACCAACAACCAGUGAGCUUGGAAGUAGAUUUUUCCUCAGUCAAGCCUUGAGAUGAGAACAUGGUACAGCCAACACCUUGAGUGUCACCACCUGUGAAACUCUGAGCCAUGGGCCAUAUGGCCCAACUAAGCUGUACCCAGACUCCUGAGUCAGGGAAACUAUAAGAUAAUAAAUUUGGAUUGUUUUAAGCCA
ensembl:lncRNA